AUGCCUGGCUGUGUGUGCUUUAGGAGGAGGCGUGUGUAUGUGUGGGUGCGCACUGUAAGUGUGUGUCGUGGAGAGAGUUAAGGAGAGCUGCUGCUGCUGGCAUGAGGUGCUCAUGCGUGUGUGUGUGUUCGUGUGUGUGGUAGCGCUAAAGGGAGAGGGCUAAGUGUGUUCCAGGAAAAAGGAGGAGCAGCACCAUUCUGGCUGUGUUUUCUCUCAGUGUACAGAGGGGCUGGAUGUCUGGAGGUUUGCAGAGGAGGAGCCCUGAAGAGUAUGGACUCCACUCCAGUGACUGAACUAAAGGGUCAGUUGAAGGGGCCUUAGAAUGGGACCACUCUUCACUUCCUCACUUGUCCAAAAGUGCACUUCAAUAUCUACCUCUCAGUGACUCCUAGGCCUAUAGGGACUGCUGACUACUUAUCACUGGUAUUGUGCUGAUCUGAGUCAGCUUUAAUCAAUGAAACACCUUGCUCAGUAGACGUCUGCCUACAUAGGUAAACAGUUGUAAGCAUGGAGUUCUCCGUGGUUUGACCUUGUUUUGAGGUCUUUAGCAGUUAGCGACAUCAGCUUUCCCCACGCACUCCCGGAGACCAGAGAUGAGUGUGUCUCAGCCCGGGGAACACGUCCCCGUCGGGGGCAUGAAUGGCUCCGGAAUGAGGCUCCCCCUCCUCCUCACCGGUGACCAAAAUGGAAAUGCUUUCCCUGUCUCCUCUUCCUCCUCCUCUUCCUCCCCAGACUCCCUGCAGAGUCUGAGCAGCCUGGACGUCGACAUGGAAUGUGUGAUGUCGACCCAAAUCAAAAUGGCCGCUAUCUCACCAGCUGGGGAACUGCCUCAGACUGAGUUCUCUGAAUCCAACGACAACUCGGUGUCCGUCUACCUGGACGCUGAUGAGGACUCCUGGAACGACAACCUGACCCUCGCCAUGAGCAUUGCUGGGAUACGGGAGCAUAGCAACGGUAGCCAAGGCGAUCUCCAUGACAACGUUAGCAGUGUGGCGAGCAACAGCAGUGGGAGAAGGGACUCUUCCCCGGACUCGGCGGCCACGGAGAUCCCAGGUGAUGAGGGUGAUGUUGAAGAUGAUGAGGAAGGGUUUUUUCUCUCGGUGAGCUCAGACAUGGUGAUGAGGAGAAUCAGCCUGAUCGACUCGGAGCAGCUCCCCAGCAGCGGGGUGUCCAUCCUGGAGGACUCGGACACGGCCUCCCCCUCCACCACGGCUCCCAUCCAGGCUCCAAUCUCCGCCCCAUUGCCUGACCUCUGUAAGGGCCUUGAGGGGAGGAAGAGUCCUCAUGCUGGGACCAUCACCAUGGAACUCCAGAACCUCCAGACUGGGGCUAGCAGCUCACCGGGUCUGCCCGAUAGAGAGGCACUUCAGGUGGGGGUGGAUCUGCCC
ensembl:lncRNA